rnacentral:rRNA from 1 species
UACGUAGGGCGCAAGCGUUAUCCGGAAUUAUUGGGCGUAAAGAGCUCGUAGGCGGUUUGUCGCGUCUGCCGUGAAAGUCCGGGGCUCAACUCCGGAUCUGCGGUGGGUACGGGCAGACUAGAGUGAUGUAGGGGAGACUGGAAUUCCUGGUGUAGCGGUGAAAUGCGCAGAUAUCAGGAGGAACACCAGUGGCGAAGGCGCCGCUCUGGGCCGACACUGACGCUGAGGAGCGAAAGCGUGGGUAGCAAACAGG